AUGCCUUCCUUCACCGUUCCUCCAGUUGUGCUGUUCGUGGUGCUGCACAUCUUGGCCUCUCCCGCCACCGCAUGCACCGAGCAGGAGAAGCAUAAUCUGCUCCGGUUCCUAGCCGGGCUAUCGCGAGAUGGUGGCCUCGCCACGUCAUGGCGCGACAACAGCACGAACUGCUGCAAGUGGGAAGGCGUCGUCUGCAAUGAAGAUGAGGCCGUUACUGAGGUAUCCCUGGGAUCUAAAGGACUUGAAGGGUGCAUCUCGCCAUCCCUGGCCAACCUCACCAGCCUGCUACAUGUCAAUCUCUCGUACAACCCCUUCUCUGGUGGCCUUUUGCCAGAGCUCAUGUCCUCCGGAAGCAUCAUCAUCCUUGACGUCAGCUUCAACCAGCUCAACGGACCGCUGCCCGACCUGCCGUACUUGGUUACCACCAACCGGCCUCUGCAGGUACUCAACAUCUCAAGCAACCAGUUCAGCUCAAAAUUUCCAUCAGCCACAUGGAAGGUGAUGAAAAAUCUGAUUGCACUCAACGCCAGCAAUAACAGCUUCACCGGGAACAUACCGUCUUCUCUCUGCCUUGGCUCGCCAUAUUUGGUAUUGCUUGACCUCUGUUAUAACCAAUUGAGUGGCAAUAUUCCCACUGCACUAGGUGAUUGCUCCAAGCUCAAAGUGCUCAAGGUGGGCCAUAACAACCUCAGUGGGACUCUCCCUGUUGAAAUCUUCCACGCUGCCUCGCUAGAGUACCUCUCCUUCCCCAACAAUGGUUUACAAGGAGAACUUGAUGGAGCACACAUAGUCAGACGCAGUAAUAUUCGUACUCUUGACCUUGGAGGGAACCACAUCAGUGGCAAAAUUCCAGAGUCCAUAGGUCAGCUCACAAGGCUGGAGGAGCUCCAUUUGGGUAACAAUAACAUGUCUGGGGAGCUGCCAUCAACUCUGAGCAACUGCAAAAAUCUCAAAACCAUUGAUCUGAAGCUCAAUGACUUCAGUGGAGACCUAGGCAAGGUAAACUUCGCCACCCUACAGAAUCUAAAAAGUUUAGAUCUCAUUAAGAAUAAUCUCAAUGGGAUAGUUCCAGAAAGCAUUUACUCAUGCAGCAAUUUGACUGCUCUGCGGUUGUCGGGCAACCAUUUCCAUGGUGAGAUCUCACUGAGAAUAGGCAAUCUGAAGCACUUGUCCUUCCUGUCACUUGUUAGAAACUCUUUCACGAACAUCACAAAAACUUUGCAUGCCCUUGAGAGCUGUAGGAACAUCAGCAUCCUGCUUAUUGGCAGAAACUUCAUGAAUGAGGCCAUGCCACAAGAUGAAAUCAUUGACGGUUUUCAGAAUCUUCAGUUUCUCUCCAUGUGCCAGUGUUCCUUGACUGGAAGGAUACCUGCUUGGUUGUCAAAGCUCACAAGUCUGAAGAUACUACUAUUAUCUAAUAAUCAACUCACUGGACCAAUGCCAAGCUGGAUCAACUCCCUAAACCACCUCUUUCGUCUGGACGUAUCUAACAACAGUCUCACUGGAGAAAUACCAGUCACCUUGAUGCAGAUGCCACUAUUAAAAUCAGAUAAGACUGGCAUGUAUUUGGACCCAAGCCUCAUUGACCUUGGUCUACUUAUUUAUGGUGUGGCUCCGACACAACUUCAAUAUCAUAUAGGCAGUGCUUCGGCCAAAGAGCUGAAUCUCGGUAAAAAUAAUUUCACAGGCAUGAUCCCACGAGAGAUCGGUCAGCUGAAAGCCCUCCUUUACAUGAACUUGAGUUCCAACAACUUUUAUGGAGAGAUCCCACAAUCGAUCUGCAAUCUCACAAACCUGCAGAGGCUAGAUCUGUCUAAUAAUCAUCUGACGGGUGCAAUCCCUGCAGCAUUGGAGAACCUUCACUUCCUUUCGCAAUUCAACAUAUCAAACAAUAACCUAGAAGGACCUAUUCCAACAAGAGGCCAGCUGAGCACAUUUCAAAAUUCUAGUUUUGGUGGGAACCCAAAGCUGUGCGGCUCUGUGCUUAUUAACCAUUGUGGUUCGGUUGAAGCAGCCCCCAUCUACAUCACAUCUGCAAAAGAAUACAUCGAUAAGGUCAUCUUUGUGAUUGCAUUUUGUGUGUUCUUUUGGGUAGCAGUGCUAUAUGACCAGUUAGUAUUAUUUAAAUAUUUUGGCUAG
rnacentral:rRNA from 1 species